rnacentral:rRNA from 1 species
CCUACGGGUGGCUGCAGUAAGGAAUAUUGGUCAAUGGACGAAAGUCUGAACCAGCCAUGCCGCGUGAAGGAUGAAGGUCCUCUGGAUUGUAAACUUCUUUUAUCUGGGACGAAAAAAGGGAAUUCUUUCUCACUUGACGGUACCAGAAGAAUAAGCACCGGCUAACUCCGUGCCAGCAGCCGCGGUAAUACGGAGGGUGCAAGCGUUAUCGGGAUUCACUGGGUUGAAAGGGGGCAUAGGUGGGCAGUUAGAAAUCUCCGGGCUUAACCCGGAAACUGCCAUUGAUACUAUCUGUCUUGAAUACUCUGGAGGUAAGCGGAAUAUGUCAUGUAGCGGUGAAAUGCUUAGAUAUGACAUAGAACACCGAUUGCGAAGGCAGCUUACUACGGAGUCAUUGACACUGAGGCACGAAAGCGUGGGGAUCAAACAGGAUUAGAUACCCGAGUAGUC